rnacentral:rRNA from 1 species
CCUAACACAUGCAAGUCGAACGAAGUAGCAAUACUUAGUGGCAGACGGGUGAGUAACAUGUGGGUAUCUGCCCUUUGGCCUGGAAUAACACGAGGAAACUUGUGCUAAUACCGGAUAAGUCUUUACGGAGAAAGCUUUAUGCACCAUUGGAUGAGCCCGCACUUGAUUAGUUUGUUGGUAGGGUAAUGGCCUACCAAGACUGUGAUCAAUAGCUGAUUUGAGAGGAUGAUCAGCCACAUUGGGACUGAGACACGGCCCAAACUCCUACGGGAGGCAGCAGUGGGGAAUCUUGCACAAUGGAGGAAACUCUGAUGCAGCGAUGCCGCGUGAGUGAAGAAGGCCCUUGGGUUGUAAAGCUCUUUCGUCGGGGAAGAAAAUGACUGUACCCGAAUAAGAAGGUCCGGCUAACUUCGUGCCAGCAGCCGCGGUAAUACGAAGGGACCUAGCGUAGUUCGGAAUUACUGGGCUUAAAGAGUUCGUAGGUGGUUGAAAAAGUUGGUGGUGAAAUCCCAGAGCUUAACUCUGGAACUGCCAUCAAAACUUUU